rnacentral:misc_RNA from 1 species
CACGAAUACCCCAAGCGUUAUCCGGAAUUACUGGGCGUAAAGCGCGCGUAGGUGGCUUGAUAAGCCGGUUGUGAAAGCCCCGGGCUCAACCUGGGAACGGCAUCCGGAACUGUCAGGCUAGAGUGCAGGAGAGGAAGGUAGAAUUCCCGGUGUAGCGGUGAAAUGCGUAGAGAUCGGGAGGAAUACCAGUGGCGAAGGCGGCCUUCUGGACUGGCACUGACGCUGAGGUGCGAAAGCGUGGGUAGCAAACAGG